GUCUGGAUAGUUUAGUGGUCUAGAGCAAUUGCCCGGAAAGCGAAAGACUCGGGUUCGUUUCCCGAUCCAGCCA
rnacentral:tRNA from 1 species